rnacentral:lncRNA from 1 species
AUGGAUGGUGGAGUAGGAGUCCCAGAAACCACCCUGCCCAGGGAGCCCAGGGAGCCCAGGGACUGUUCCACCAGUCCCUCUCGCAAGGUGAUUGGUCCAGACCUAGACUCAGGGGCUGGUGCAAAGGGAAGGCAGCAAAGCAGGAGGGAGGAGACACUGGAGUGUGGUGGCCCAGGGCACCCAGACCUGUGGAAAAGGGCGGGGAGGGCGGAGAGGCGCGGCCGGGCUUCCUCGCCGGGACCCCGCGGGCCUCUGCGCGGAGGGCGGAGCGGGAGGGGGGCCCGGCGAAGGCGGGAGAGGGCGAGCCGGAGGGGAGCACGGGGAGGCCGGGAAGGGCGUCACUGCUCGCUUUCCGCUUCAGGAGCGGGCGGCAGAGGCGGCGGGGCGGAGCGGGCGGCGGCGACGGGGUUCGCAGCGGUCCUCGCCUCCACUCCUCCGUGGGCCGCGCGGAGGGAGCGCGGGCGCGGCCGGCUGCACCCACCCGGGCCGGAGGGCAGGGCGCGGGGGGGGGUGCUGCGCGGGGGGCUCCGCGGGCUGGGCGGCCGCGCGUCUCCCGGACACUAGGGCUCCGGCUGCACCCACCCGGGCCGGAGGGCAGGGCGCGGGGGGGGGGGGCGCGGGGGGGCUCCGCGGGCUGGGCGGCCGCGCGUCUCCCGGACACUAGGGCUCCGGCUGCACCCACCCGGGCCGGAGGGCAGGGCGCGGGGUGGGGGGGGGCGCGGGGGGGCUCCGCGGGCUGGGCGGCCGCGCGUCUCCCGGACACUAGGGCUCCGGCUGCACCCACCCGGGCCGGAGGGCAGGGCGCGGGGGGGGGGCGCGGGGGGGCUCCGCGGGCUGGGCGGCCGCGCGUCUCCCGGACACUAGGGCUCCGGCUGCACCCACCCGGGCCGGAGGGCAGGGCGCGGGUGGGGGGGGGCGCGGGGGGGCUCCGCGGGCUGGGCGGCCGCGCGUCUCCCGGACACUAGGGCUCCGGCUGCACCCACCCGGGCCGGAGGGCAGGGCGCGGGGGGGGGGCGCGGGGGGGCUCCGCGGGCUGGGCGGCCGCGCGUCUCCCGGACACUAGGGCUCCGGCUGCACCCACCCGGGCCGGAGGGCAGGGCGCGGGGGGGGGGGGGCGCGGGGGGGCUCCGCGGGCUGGGCGGCCGCGCGUCUCCCGGACACUAGGGCUCCGGCUGCACCCACCCGGGCCGGAGGGCAGGGCGCGGGGGGCGGGCGCUGCGCGGGGGGGCUCCGCGGGCUGGGCGGCCGCGCGUCUCCCGGACACUAGGGCUCCGGCUGCACCCACCCGGGCCGGAGGGCAGGGCGCGGGGGGGGGUGCUGCGCGGGGGGCUCCGCGGGCUGGGCGGCCGCGCGUCUCCCGGACACUAGGGCUCCGGCUGCACCCACCCGGGCCGGAGGGCAGGGCGCGGGGGGGGGGGCGCGGGGGGGCUCCGCGGGCUGGGCGGCCGCGCCGUCUCCCGGACACUAGGGCUCCGGCUGCACCCACCCGGGCCGGAGAGGCAGGGCGCGGGGUGGGGGGGGGCGCGGGGGGGCUCCGCGGGCUGGGCGGCCGCGCGUCUCCCGGACACUUGGGUUCCGGCUGCACCCACCCGGGCCGGAGGGCAGGGCGCGGGGGGCGGGCGCUGCGCGGGGGGCUCCGCGGGCUGGGCGGCCGCGCGUCUCCCGGACACUAGGGCUCCGGCUGCACCCACCCGGGCCGGAGGGCAGGGCGCGGGGGGGGGGGUGCUGCGCGGGGGGCUCCGCGGGCUGGGCGGCCGCGCGUCUCCCGGACACUAGGGCUCCGGCUGCACCCACCCAGGCCGGAGGGCAGGGCGCGGGGGGGGGGGCGGGCGGGGGGCUCCGCGGGCUGGGCGGCCGCGCGUCUCCCGGACACUAGGGCUCCGGCUGCACCCACCCAGGCCGGAGGGCAGGGCGCGGGGGGGGGGUGCUGCGCGGGGGGGCUCCGCGGGCUGGGCGGCCGCGCGUCUCCCGGACACUAGGGCUCCGGCUGCACCCACCCGGGCCGGAGGGCAGGGCGCGGGGGGGGGGGCGCGGGGGGGGCUCCGCGGGCUGGGCGGCCGCGCGUCUCCAGGACACUAGGGCUCCGGCUGCACCCACCCGGGCCGGAGGGCAGGGCGGGGGGGGGGGCGCGGGGGGGCUCCGCGGGCUGGGCGGCCGCGCGUCUCCCGGACACUAGGGCUCCGGCUGCACCCACCCGGGCCGGAGGGCAGGGCGCGGGGUGGGGGGGGGCGCGGGGGGGCUCCGCGGGCUGGGCGGCCGCGCGUCUCCCGGACACUUGGGUUCCGGCUGCACCCACCCGGGCCGGAGGGCAGGGCGCGGGGGGCGGGCGCUGCGCGGGGGGCUCCGCGGGCUGGGGCGGCCGCGCGUCUCCCGGACACUUGGGCUCCGGCUGCACCACCCGGGCCGGAGGGCGGGGCGCGGGGGGGGGCUGCGCUGGGGUGCUCCGCGGGCUGGGCUGCCGCGCGUCUCCCGGACACUAGGGCUCCGGCUGCACCCACCCGGGUCGGAGGGCAGGGCGCGGGGGCGGGGGGCGCUGCGCGGGGGGCUCCGCGGGCUGGGCGGCCGCGCGUCUCCCGGACUCUAGGGCUCCGGCUGCCAUCGGGCCGCGGCCGGGACGGAGCUCCCUGCGCUCCCCCGGGGGCCUCGGCGGCGCGGCCCCGCAGCUCCACGCACGCGGCGAUGCGGGCGCGGAGGGGCGGGCGGGCGGGGGCGCGAGGCUGCCGCCAGCCGCCCGGAGCCGCUGUCCACUGCUGAAGCGCCGGCCGCCGGCGCCGCGCUGCCCGCCUGGAGCGACUCU